AGGUGAACCUGCGGAAGGAUCAUUAAAGAGUUAGGGUCUUCCAGGCCCGACCUCCCAACCCUAUGUUUACUCAAACCACCGUUGCUUCGGCGGGUCCGUCUCAGACCGCCGGGGGACUGUCAUAGGUCCUCUGGCCCGCACCCGCCGGUGGCCAAUCUUCAUAAACUCGUGAAUAAAACGUGUCCUUGUCUGAGUAUAUGAAAUAAAUUAAAGCAAAAAACUUUCAACAACGGAUCUCUUGGUUCUGG
rnacentral:misc_RNA from 1 species